rnacentral:rRNA from 1 species
UACAGAGGGUGCGAGCGUUGUCCGGAAUCACUGGGCGUAAAGGGCGCGUAGGCGGUCGGGUAAGCGUGUGGUGAAAGCUCGGGGCUCAACCCCGAGUCGGCCGUGCGAACUGCUCGACUGGAGCAUGUCAGAGGCAGGCGGAAUUCCGGGUGUAGCGGUGGAAUGCGUAGAUAUCGGAAGGAACAUCAGUGGCGAAAGCGACUUCCUGGACCAAUACUGACGCUCAUGUGCGAAAGCGUGGGGAGCAAACAGGG